rnacentral:rRNA from 1 species
ACCGAUUUCUUCGGAAUGAAGUUUUAGUGACUGAGUGGCGGACGGGUGAGUAACGCGUGGGUAACCUGCCUCACACAGGGGGAUAACAGUUGGAAACGGCUGCUAAUACCGCAUAAGCGCACAGUACCGCAUGGUACAGUGUGAAAAACUCCGGUGGUGUGAGAUGGACCCGCGUCUGAUUAGCUAGUUGGCAGGGCAACGGCCUACCAAGUCGACGAUCGGUAGCCGGACUGAGAGGUUGAACGGCCACAUUGGGACUGAGACACGGCCCAGACUCC